CCUACGGGAGGCAGCAGUGGGGAAUAUUGCACAAUGGGGGAAACCCUGAUGCAGCGACGCCGCGUGAGUGAAGAAGUAUUUCGGUAUGUAAAGCUCUAUCAGCAGGGAAGAAAAUGACGGUACCUGAUGAAGAAUCCCCGUCUAACUACGUGCCAGCAGCGGCGGUAAUACGUAGGGGGCAAGCGUUAUCCGGAUUUACUGGGGGUAAAGGGAGCGUAGACGGCAGUAUAAGUCUGGAGUGAAAUGCCCGGGCUUAACCCCGGAACUGCUUUGGAUACUGUGCAGCUAGAGUGCAGGCGAGGUAAGUGGAAUAAGUAGUGUAGCGGUGAAAUGCGUAGAUAUUAGGAGGAACACCAGUGGCGAAGGCAGCUUACUGGACUGUAACUGACGUUGAGGCUCGAAAGCGUGGGGAGCGAACAGGAUUAGAUACCCUGGUAGUC
rnacentral:rRNA from 1 species